GACGAACGCUGGCGGCGUGCUUAACACAUGCAAGUCGAACGGAGAACUCCGCUUGUGGGGGGAUCAGUGGCGAACGGACGGGUAACAAACGCGCAACUUGCCUUCCGCUCAGGUUGAACUAACUGAAAUAGACGCGAAUAAAGGACAUGAAGGCUGACCGCCUGCACUGGUGGUGGUGAGAUUUGUCGGCUGGGGAUGGGCCCGCGGCCUAUCAGCUUGUUGGUGGGGUAGUGGUCUACCAAGGCGACGACGGGUAGCCGGCCUGAGAGGGUGACCGGCCACACUGGGACUGAGACACGGCCCAGACUCCUACGGGAGGCAGCAGUGGGGAAUAUUGCACAAUGGGCGGAAGCCUGACGCAGCGACGCCGCGUGGGGGAUGACGGCCUUCGGGUUGUAAACCCCUUUCGCCUGUGACGAAGCGAAAGUGACGGUAAUGGCUGAAGAAGCACCGGCUAACUACGUG
rnacentral:rRNA from 1 species